rnacentral:rRNA from 1 species
GAUUGAACGCUGGCGGCAUGCCUUACACAUGCAAGUCGAACGGCAGCACGGGAGCAAUCCUGGUGGCGAGUGGCGAACGGGUGAGUAAUAUAUCGGAACGUGCCCAGUCGUGGGGGAUAACGUAGCGAAAGCUACGCUAAUACCGCAUACGAUCUAUGGAUGAAAGCGGGGGAUCGCAAGACCUCGCGCGAUUGGAGCGGCCGAUAUCAGAUUAGGUAGUUGGUGAGGUAAAGGCUCACCAAGCCGACGAUCUGUAGCUGGUCUGAGAGGACGACCAGCCACACUGGGACUGAGACACGGCCCAGACUCCUACGGGAGGCAGCAGUGGGGAAUUUUGGACAAUGGGCGCAAGCCUGAUCCAGCAAUGCCGCGUGCAGGAUGAAGGCCUUCGGGUUGUAAACUGCUUUUGUACGGAACGAAACGGUGAGCUCUAAUACAGUUUGCUAAUGGCGGUACCGUAAGAAUAAGCACCGGCUAACUACGUG